rnacentral:rRNA from 1 species
CAGCCGCCGCGGUAAUCCUAAGGGUGCAAGCGUUAAUCGGAAUUACUGGGCGUAAAGCGUGCGUAGGUGGUGGUUUAAGUCCGUUGUGAAAGCCCUGGGCUCAACCUGGGAAUUGCAGUGGAUACUGGGUCACUAGAGUGUGGUAGAGGAUAGUGGAAUUUCCGGUGUAGCAGUGAAAUGCGUAGAGAUCGGAAGGAACAUCUGUGGCGAAGGCGACUAUCUGGGCCAACACUGACACUGAGGCACGAAAGCGUGGGGAGCAAACAGGAUUAGAUACCCGAGUAGUCCCUGUCUCUUAUAC